rnacentral:rRNA from 1 species
AAAUUGAAGAGUUUGAUCAUGGCUCAGAUUGAACGCUGGCGGCAGGCCUAACACAUGCAAGUCGAGCGGAAACGAGUUAUCUGAACCUUCGGGGGACGAUAACGGCGUCGAGCGGCGGACGGGUGAGUAAUGCCUAGGAAAUUGCCCUGAUGUGGGGGAUAACCAUUGGAAACGAUGGCUAAUACCGCAUGAUGCCUACGGGCCAAAGAGGGGGACCUUCGGGCCUCUCGCGUCAGGAUAUGCCUAGGUGGGAUUAGCUAGUUGGUGAGGUAAGGGCUCACCAAGGCGACGAUCCCUAGCUGGUCUGAGAGGAUGAUCAGCCACACUGGAACUGAGACACGGUCCAGACUCCUACGGGAGGCAGCAGUGGGGAAUAUUGCACAAUGGGCGCAAGCCUGAUGCAGCCAUGCCGCGUGUGUGAAGAAGGCCUUCGGGUUGUAAAGCACUUUCAGUCGUGAGGAAGGUAGUGUAGUUAAUAGCUGCAUUAUUUGACGUUAGCGACAGAAGAAGCACCGGCUAACUCCGUGCCAGCAGCCGCGGUAAUACGGAGGGUGCGAGCGUUAAUCGGAAUUACUGGGCGUAAAGCGCAUGCAGGUGGUUUGUUAAGUCAGAUGUGAAAGCCCGGGGCUCAACCUCGGAAUAGCAUUUGAAACUGGCAGACUAGAGUACUGUAGAGGGGGGUAGAAUUUCAGGUGUAGCGGUGAAAUGCGUAGAGAUCUGAAGGAAUACCGGUGGCGAAGGCGGCCCCCUGGACAGAUACUGACACUCAGAUGCGAAAGCGUGGGGAGCAAACAGGAUUAGAUACCCUGGUAGUCCACGCCGUAAACGAUGUCUACUUGGAGGUUGUGGCCUUGAGCCGUGGCUUUCGGAGCUAACGCGUUAAGUAGACCGCCUGGGGAGUACGGUCGCAAGAUUAAAACUCAAAUGAAUUGACGGGGGCCCGCACAAGCGGUGGAGCAUGUGGUUUAAUUCGAUGCAACGCGAAGAACCUUACCUACUCUUGACAUCCAGAGAACUUUCCAGAGAUGGAUUGGUGCCUUCGGGAACUCUGAGACAGGUGCUGCAUGGCUGUCGUCAGCUCGUGUUGUGAAAUGUUGGGUUAAGUCCCGCAACGAGCGCAACCCUUAUCCUUGUUUGCCAGCGAGUAAUGUCGGGAACUCCAGGGAGACUGCCGGUGAUAAACCGGAGGAAGGUGGGGACGACGUCAAGUCAUCAUGGCCCUUACGAGUAGGGCUACACACGUGCUACAAUGGCGCAUACAGAGGGCAGCCAACUUGCGAAAGUGAGCGAAUCCCAAAAAGUGCGUCGUAGUCCGGAUUGGAGUCUGCAACUCGACUCCAUGAAGUCGGAAUCGCUAGUAAUCGUGGAUCAGAAUGCCACGGUGAAUACGUUCCCGGGCCUUGUACACACCGCCCGUCACACCAUGGGAGUGGGCUGCAAAAGAAGUAGGUAGUUUAACCUUCGGGGGGACGCUUACCACUUUGUGGUUCAUGACUGGGGUGAAGUCGUAACAAGGUAGCGCUAGGGGAACCUGGCGCUGGAUCACCUCCUUAAACGAUGAU